rnacentral:lncRNA from 1 species
AUGCUAUGGGGUGUAGUGUUGCUAUGGGGCAAUGCUAUGGGGCAGGCUGCCGCUAUGGGACACAGUGCUAUUAUGGGGCACUGCUAUGGGGCACAGUGCUGCUAUGGGGCAAUGCUAUGGGGUGUAGUGUUGCUAUGGGGCAAUGCUAUGGGGCAGGGUGCUGCUAUAGGGCACAGUGCUGUUAUGGGGCAAUGCUAUGGGGCAAUGCUAUGGGGUGUAGUGUUGCUAUGGGGCACUGCUAUGGGGCAGGGUGCUGUUAUGGGGCAAUGCUAUGGGGCAGGGUGCUGCUAUGGGGCACAGUGCUGUUAUGGGGCAAUGCUAUGGGGCAGGCUGCCGCUAUGGGACACAGUGCUGUUAUGGGGCACUGCUAUGGGGCACAGUGCUGCUAUAGGGCAAUGCUAUGGGGCACAGUGCUGCUAUAGGGCAAUGCUAUGGGGCACAGUGCUGCUAUAGGGCAAUGUUAUGGGGCACAGUGCUGUAUGGCACAGUGCUGAUGGCACAGUGCUGUAUGGCACAGUGCUGUAUGGGGCACUGCUAUGGGGCACAGUGCUGCUAUGGGGCACAGUGCUGCUAUAGGGCACAGUGCUGCUAUAGGGCAAUGCUAUGGGGUGUAGUGUUGCUAUGGGGCACUGCUAUGGGGCAGGGUGCUGCUAUAGGGCACUGCUAUGGGGCACAGUGCUGCUAUGGGGCACAGUGCUGCUAUGGGGCACUGCUAUGGGGCAGGGCACUGCUAUGGGGCAGGGCACUGCUAUGGGGCACAGUGCUGCUAUGGGGCAAUGCUAUGGGGCAAUGCUAUGGGGUGUAGUGUUGCUAU